rnacentral:rRNA from 1 species
GAUGAACGCUAGCUACAGGCUUAACACAUGCAAGUCGAGGGGAAACGAUAUUGGAAGCUUGCUUCCGAUAGGCGUCGACCGGCGCACGGGUGAGUAACGCGUAUCCAACCUGCCCAUCACUUGGGGAUAACCUUGCGAAAGUAAGACUAAUACCCAAUGAUAUCUCUAGAAGACAUCUGAAGGAGAUUAAAGAUUCAUCGGUGAUGGAUGGGGAUGCGUCUGAUUAGCUUGUUGGCGGGGUAACGGCCCACCAAGGCGACGAUCAGUAGGGGUUCUGAGAGGAAGGUCCCCCACAUUGGAACUGAGACACGGUCCAAACUCCUACGGGAGGCAGCAGUGAGGAAUAUUGGUCAAUGGACGAGAGUCUGAACCAGCCAAGUAGCGUGCAGGAUGACGGCCCUAUGGGUUGUAAACUGCUUUUAUAAGGGAAUAAAGUGAGUCUCGUGAGACUUUUUGCAUGUACCUUAUGAAUAAGGACCGGCUAAUUCCGUGCCAGCCGCCGCCGUAA